rnacentral:rRNA from 1 species
CCUACGGGAUGCAGCAGUGGGGAAUAUUGCACAAUGGGGGAAACCCUGAUGCAGCGACGCCGCGUGAGUGAAGAAGUAAUUCGUUAUGUAAAGCUCUAUCAGCAGGGAAGAAAAUGACGUUACCUGAGUAAGAAGCCCCGGCCAAUUACGUGCCAGCAGCCGCGGUAAAACGGAGGGGGCAAGCGUUAUGCGGAGUGACUGGGUGUAAAGGUAGCGUAGACGGCAGUGCAAGUCUAGAGUGAAAGGCCGGGGCUCAACCCGCGGACUGCCCUUGAAACUGUACAGCUGGAGUGCCGGAGAGGUAAGUGGAAUUCCUGGUGUAGGAGUGAAAUGCGUAGAUAUCAGGAGGAACACCAGUGGCGAAGGCGACUUACUGGACUGUAACUGACGCUGAGGCGCGAAAGCGUGGGUAGCAAACAGGAUUAGAUACCCCAGUAGUC